rnacentral:rRNA from 1 species
GUGGCUACUGUGCCAGCUGGUGGAUCGCUCGGCUUGAGAGCUGAAGACGGACGUGCCAAGCUGCGAUAAGCCCAAGGGACCCGCACGGAGGGAAAGAACUUGGGAUCUCCAAAUAGGAAUCCUCUCGCAAUUGCCUUGCGCAAUGGGGAACGCCGGAAAUUGAAACAUCUUAGUACCGGCAGGAAAAGAAAACGCAACGUGAUGUCGUUAGUACUGGCGAAGGAACGCGAUACNCAGUCCAAACCGAAGCCUUCACGGGCAAUGUGGUGUUCGGACUGACGAUCACUUCCCGAACCUCAACACGAAGUCUCCUGGAACGGAGCACGAAACAGGGUGACAGUCCCGUACUGUCGAUUAGUAAGGAACGAGUCAGCUCCAGAGUAUCGGGGGUUGGAUAUCCCUCGUGAAUAUCUCAGGCAUCGACUGAGAAGACUAAACACUCCUCAAGACCGAUAGCGAACAAGUAGCGUGAGCGAACGCUGAAAAGCACCCCGAGAAGGGAGGUGCAAUAGGGCGUGAAAUCAGUUGGCGAUGGAGCGACUGGGCACAAAAGGUCUGCUGCGAAAUGAACCGGGUGCGAACCCAUAGUAAGAAGCAGCGGAAGCCGGUGUCCAGUCGUACGUUUUGAAAAACGAACCAGGGAGUAUGCCUGAUUGACGAGUCUAACCCGAUCAUCGGGGAAGGCGUAGGGAAACCGACAGGGCCGCAGC